rnacentral:lncRNA from 1 species
CCCUCUCUCUUUCUCUCUAGUGUUUUUCUCUAUUCUCUCCACACAAAAUAACAUAAGCUUAGCUAGCUAUUUAUACACAAAUUCAAAACAAGAUAAUUCAACCUUCAAGUGUGAAGGCGGUCGUGGACGGUGGUGUGAAGGCGGCUGGCGGCAUGCAGCUGGUGGCUGGCGGCUGGUCGGUGGCAGCUGGUGGUUGCCUUCCUUGACCAUCUAGAUUGAGUUUAAUAUUCAACAGCUGACACCUCGAAUCCGUACCCAUACCAAAGCGUGGG